CUAGGUGGUUCACACCGAAAAAAAUAAAUAAGGGGGACCAUAUUGCGCAAGCGAUAUGAGAAAAGUUAGCUAAUAUCGGUAAAAUCCUAUGUUAAAAUAGGGCUAUACCGAGGGAAGUUUGUGAGUUUUGUAGAGAAAACGAUGAAUCGUUUUCUCAAACCUGGCAACGACAGGAAGUAUGGCUCACGAGGAAACUCGUGAAGAACCCGCACCGCGGGGGAGAAGGCGAAAGUCUUAGGAACUACUGUCGUUGCCUUCUCUACAAAGCUUGCAAGCACCCGUAGAGACUACAUGCUAACCUCCGCGAAAGCGGAUGAAGAUAUAGUCCGAUCUUUAUGGAGACACAAAG
rnacentral:ncRNA from 1 species